UACGUAGGGGGCGAGCGUUGUCCGGAUUUAUUGGGCGUAAAGAGCUCGUAGGCGGUUUGGUAAGUUGGAUGUGAAAUCUCCAGGCUCAACUUGGAGGGGUCAUUCGAUACUGCCAUGACUAGAGUUCGGUAGGGGAGUGUGGAAUUCCUGGUGGAGCGGUGAAAUGCGCAGAUAUCAGGAGGAACACCGGUGGCGAAGGCGGUUCUCUGGGCAUGUCCUGACGCUGAGGAGCGAAAGUGUGGGGAGCGAACAGG
rnacentral:rRNA from 1 species